rnacentral:rRNA from 1 species
UAGGUAGCUUAACCGUCGGGAGGGCGCUUACCACUUUGUGAUUCAUGACUGGGGUGAAGUCGUAACAAGGUAACCGUAGGGGAACCUGCGGUUGGAUCACCUCCUUACCUUAAAGAAGC